UACGUAGGGUGCAAGCGUUAAUCGGAAUUACUGGGCGUAAAGCGUGCGCAGGCGGUUUUGUAAGUCUGUCGUGAAAGCCCCGGGCUCAACCUGGGAAUUGCGAUGGAGACUGCAAGGCUUGAAUCUGGCAGAUGGGGGUAGAAUUCCACGUGUAGCAGUGAAAUGCGUAGAGAUGUGGAGGAACACCGAUGGCGAAGGCAGCCCCCUGGGUCAAGAUUGACGCUCAUGCACGAAAGCGUGGGGAGCAAACAGG
rnacentral:rRNA from 1 species